rnacentral:tRNA from 1 species
GCCGAAGUGGCGAAACUGGUAGACGCACUGGACUCAAAAUCCAGCGGUGGCGACACCGUCCCGGUUCGACUCCGGGCUUCGGCA